UGUAAACCCACGGUUUGUGAGGUAACUCCUAGUGUGUGAGUGGGUCAGACGCUGUUGGAGUUUUUACCUUAAAUACGGGUUUGUAUUUGGAUGGCUGCGCUGGUGAUUGCCAGUGUAAGAUGCCCAGAUUCAUUUCUGAGAUUGUUUUGAAAAUCUCUGCCAAAUCUGCCUGUGAUCUAAGUCUUCUUGCCUUCGCCAAAGCUAAUGCAAGAUAGAUGCGGUCAGCUGAGCAAGCAGGGGAAGCAAGAACUGCUGCGGUUAUCGAGCCAUAUUUUAUAUGCAGUGACAACCCCAUGUGCUGCGUGCCUACGCAUUUGGACCCACGAGUGAGGCCAAGCUUCGACCUACGUCGUGAAACUAUCGCUGCAUUUCAGCGACUUGCAGCAGCCUGGUUCUCCACCUUCGCA